AGGGAUCAUAAUGGCAUCUACCCCACAGGACUACCCGGAGAACAGAUGGGCAGCUCCAACCUCCAGGUCCUGCCCCGAGUUCCCUUCAUGCUGGACCAUGUUUGUAAUGUGUACAUGAAAACAAAAUGAAGUUUAAGACAGACAAGGAGAGACAGCCUAUGGGUAAAUCACCUGCAACCAAGCCUGCAAACCUGAUCCCUGGCCUGGACGAUGUGGAAGGAGAGGACCAGCCUCCACAGACUGUGCUCUGACCUCUGCAUGGCUGCCAUGCUGGGCCCAGUCAUGCACGCGUGCGCGCACGCACGGA